rnacentral:lncRNA from 1 species
UGGGCUUAUCACUGCCUGGAUCAUUUUCUCCUCCUUUUUAGGAUACAGAUACUAUGUUCACAAUUUUCCCGUCAUUUGGUACCACCUUGGGCUUGGCAGUUCACUUAUGGUGAGCCAUGUUGUUCCUCUCCUAUGCUAUUCUUUUUUCCUUCUUUCAGCUUUCUCAGACUAUGGAAGAAUUUCUGGUGAAGCUUCAUGUGGGCUAAGCUCUUUCUGUCUGAUCUAUGAUGACUGAUAUCCUUAUCUUCAUCUAUAAAGAGUUGAGACACUUGGCAACCACAAAGCAACAUGCUUUUCAAGGGAAGAAAAUAUCUGCGGAAGGAAGAUAACAUAAAACAAAGCAUUUACGUUCAAAACAAAGUGGAGGUGAAGACAAGACUCCCUUUCAGACCUUUGUCUUCGGAUCUGCAGAUGUGGAGAUAUAUUUUCUUUGUUAUUGGGGAAAAGGCUGAGGAAAAAUUGGUUAUUUUUGUAUAGUUUAGACAAUAGCACAAACCUUUCAUUUACAAAACAGAAAAGAGGGCAGGGGUAGUUCAGCCAUGUCAAGCCUGCUGCUUUAUCUUUGUCUGCAAGAAAAAUGAUUGCAGUUUCAUUUUCUGAAAUUCAUUUUUUUGGCCACCGAUAAUCUUAUUUUCAUUUGAAGAUUUCAGUGAUUUCUUUCAGAUCUUUGUAGAAUCUGAGGAUUACAUUACUUGUAGGGAGCUCAGGUCAUUGUAUUGUGGCUGCUGCGGUGUCACUGAUUUGAAAAUUUGAUUCUCCAAAAUAAUGAAACAUAUAGCUAUAUAGGUUUACUUUCAGCUGGAAAACUGAGAGUCAGUUCCCAUGGCAGCCUCUCCGGCUCUAAAGAUGCUAUGGUCUGUUAGACUGUUGUGUAUCCAAUGUUUGCAACAGCUGGAUUUCCUCCUCCUACUAUGUGUGAAUCAUAAAAGAAUGUUAACAAAAGGAAGUUGACUGCCUUGUAUUACUUAUCCUUAAUUAAUGAAUGAGGAAUGUGAUGGUUGGGGAUAAAAUAGGCCAAAAAUAGAUCCUUGGUUUAGUAACAUGAUUUGUAAAGUCAAAACUUAAAUAUUAUUCAUUUUGGAAAGUUUCAUGACAAACAGCCAUAAACUUAGAGAAUUUUCGUACACAAAGCGCCUAUUUACUGUAUCUCAGAAGCUGUUGUUUGGUAAACAUAUAUUUUUAAAAACAAAAGAAGAUGAUCUUGUUUAAAUAUCUAUCCAAAAUCUAAGUGAAACAGAACAAAAUCAAGUCCUAGCUGCCACGAAGAUGUCAUACCUCUGAAGCAGUGAAAGCAUGCUUAGGAGUCAAACAUCAAAUGUCACCUCAUUUGCUUUAAAGUGUGCUACAGCUUAUGAGAGUACUGAUUUCAGUCCUUCAGUGAGCGUCUCCUCAGAGAGCUGAGGAAACAAUAGGAUUCUAGCUUUUCUGUAGUUUGCCUUGAAUAUAUGUCUUUACCCAGUUAUCAGAGAAACC